rnacentral:tmRNA from 1 species
CCCAGUUGCAAAGCGCGCACCGCCCCCUAUAUUAGACCUGUCCUUCGGGACUAUGAACAUAAACGCGCUCGUAAUAAGCGGAUCGGACCCGGGGGCGGUACCCGGCGGCUCCACCAAACAUCGCUCAUUUGGCGACCAUGGGGCCGAAAUAGGAUCGACGAACGUCUAAAGGGGUUAGCUUUGUUUCGGUGAGUUACCACCGUUAUCGGUACAUAUAAGCUAGUUGCAAAUGACAACAAUGCUCAGGUCGCACUCGCAGCGUAAGCUGUGCGUAACACCUAAAUCUUAAGCCCUUGGGCCUAGCAGCUCAAGGCGGGGUUCGCAGGUACCUGGCAACAGAAACCUGCACU